UCCUGUUAUCUCUGGGCGGGUCACCGUGCAGCUUGUUCGUCCAGCGUCGGAGCCGAUAUCCCAGGGUGCAGCUGAGCUUUACCUGAGACAUGUUUCAAUCUAAUCUCUGCUCUUAACACGACCAAGAACACGUACACAGUGCUCGCCCUGCAGAGACACAUCUGCCUGUGUUUAUUGUGCUAUUCUCCUGCAGACCAUAGAAACGUGGUGUAGUAGUUUACAUUUUUGGAAAGUUUAGAAGAAGCUGCAGGAUUUCCUUGAAAUCUACUCUGCUUAUUAACUUCCGAGAGGAUGAAUCCUCAUAUUUUAGUUUUUUACACAGGAAAUGGUAAGACUUGAUGGGCAGAUUAUCAGGAAGUUUACUGACCACAUUAAUCUCCUCAUAGUCUGAAUUUAUAUCCUCUAGCGCCAUCUCGGUACGAACUGGCAAGACUUUAAGACUGUUGAUCUUGACCUUAGUGAUCAUUAAGUAACUUAAUCUUCAAUAUAUUGUUGAGUCUUUAACAUGCAGCCUAUAGCGGGUGCAGGCUACAUUUUGGGACCUUUUGUAUAACAUAAGACUUUAAAGCUUGUAACGAUGUUUGACGGGGAGAUCUUUCAGUUUCUGGCCCAAGAAAUGAACACAGUCCUUUACAGGUGAAGUUACACAGACGGACAGUAUCAGCCUCAUCUCUCCAGCUGUUUGUUGGAGCCUCUGCUCGGCUGGGCUUCAGGUGUACGUUGAAUGAGACGCAACCAGAGGUGGCUGAGCGUCUGCACCGUGUUUGGUAAACAGUCUGCUCUGCACAGGGUAAAUGAAGGUACCGGUGUGUGUUCAGGUGCACAAACAGAGGAAGAGAGCGGUUGACCUGAGCUUGCUGAGCAGAAAGAGAGGAAUAAAAAGCAUUUGUAGAGUCAGUCGGUGAAUAAACAGCAGGUCAGAAGGAGAAUAAAGGACAGGAUUGAGAAUCUGUAGCCCAAACAAAAUGGUCACUACUGUUUGAUUUAUCACAAAGUAUCAAGCAGCUCUGGUUACAUUGGUUGCAAGUAUGAUCAAUAUGUUAAGAUUCAACAGUAAGUCAGUAAACAAGAUUAUUCUAUGGUUUCAUUGAUUCAACUGUUUGGUCUAUAAAAUGACAGUCUCCAGGGUCUUCAGUUUAUAAUUAUUUAAAACUGACAAAAAGAAUAAAAUCGUCUCACUGGAGAAGCUGGAACGAAGGGAAACAUUUUUCUGAUCAACUAUUGUAGCAAAAGUUUCCGUUGUACUGUUCUUAACAAUUAAUUUGGAAACAAACAUAAUUUGGUAAAGCAAUAACAUGUUUAUGAUCAUAUCCGUACAAUUACAAUACACAAGACAAUAAAAUAUAUUCAUUUAUUGCGCUGCCCCUUUAAGGAGGGUUCAAGAUGUUUUCAGGGUCUGUGACACAAAACCGUCAGAGAAACCACCGAUUCAGUCAGCUGUAAGAAAAUUGUUAAAAUGAUCCAGUAAGUGAGGGAGGAGUCGGAUUAAAAGUGUGUGUGUGUGUGUGUGUGUGUGUGUGUGUGUGUGUGUGUGUGUGUGUGUGUGUGUGUGUGUGUGUGUGUGAGAUUAGGGGGUAUCAUAGCCUCGUGUCUAGGGACCCAGAGAGGGUAUUUCGGGGGAGCAGAGGGUUAGGAGCGGUGUCACGCCCAGAGAGACGCUGCGCCGCCGUGCUAAUGAUGUCCAGCGGCCUAAUUGAAUAUCGACGUUCUGCACACGGGGGCUAAAUGGCUUCUGUCUGCUUCACCGCGGGGGGCGGGCCGGGCUGCAGAUUUUUUUUAACCUAUUACCACAGUUUAAUUCCUUCUCUUUUUUUUUUUUUUUUUUUUUUGAGGGGGUGGGUCGUUAAAUGUCCCCGUUACGAUGGUUACCGGCUUUUUGUCCUUUUGAUGCAGUUUGGUCUAGUUUUCAGGAUUUUGAGUAAUUAUAGUUUCUCACAGUCUGUGUUCGUUAAAGUUUGAUGAUGUUUUAAACACCUCGUCAUCCAAUGUUGACGCACAAUCGUACCACAAACGCAUGAUCGCGUUAUCUUCCCUCGUUGUUUACUCCUCUUGAUCUUUAUUUCCUCUCUGAUCGUCGCUUCCUUCAUCCUUUUUAUUCUCCGUUUCUCUUACUUCUGUUUCCUUGACUGUGUUUUACUUCCCACUGUGCCCGCCUCAAGACGCUUUUCAUUUUGUUGCCACAGCGACGCUUUCCAGAUGGCGAGUGUCAAGGCGAGACUGGGCUCCGAAUGUAGUCUGAACACACACACACACACACACACACACACACGCUGGUCUACAGAUACACACACUCUGAGAACAGACUGAGACACUGGCAGCGUACAUUCUGUUCAACACUCGCAUCCUACUCAGAUGCUGGUGGACGUGCACUGCCCACACACACGCACGCACACACACACACACACACAGCAGUAGCCUACAGUAUAAUAAAACCUGUGUCACAGCCACAUAGGAAACAAUCUCUCCUUUAUGUGACCGGGAUGUCAUUAAUCUUGGCGGAGGUUAACAAAUGCACUUGCAUGGAAGGUAUAUUUCAUAGGCAGACAGCCGACAAUGGGGCCAUUGUGGCGUCGAGCUGCAGCGCCGCGCUCUGCAUUCAGUCAGGACCUUUUUGGUUGGCUGCGGAUCCACGGCUGAUGUCGGGGGUUAUGUUUCAUCUCCCAGAUGAAUGUGUUUAUGCGGGAGAAAACAUGUGAAACACGGUCGCGAAAUCGACGCUCCAGCUAUUUAUUUGUUUUUGCUGCCUGAAACCACGAUUUAUUUUUCUGAGUCGGGGGGGGGGGGGAUAAAUGCAUUUGGCCAUUUUUCAAAGUUUUGUCUUGUUGCUAUUAGUCAAAAGUAGAGCCAGACAAAUCCCCUGUCCGUGCUUUCUGUGUGCAGCCGACCGACCAGGCCAACUCGGCUCUGAUUCACCGCUCUCUAGGUUUCUCCACUCCGCCGCCGUUGCAGCAGCGCUAUUUCCAUCCAUGAAGUGGCGAGUCUUCCCAGUAAUCCAUUAGACUUCCAUUAGCUCCGAUUUGUGUGAUUAGUUCUAAUUAAUCAGUUGAGUCUGUGGCCUUCACUCUCCCGUGCGCUCCUCACAUUUCAUUUUUAACCUCAUUUCUCAGCUCUCCACCGAGCGAGAGAACGAGGCAACGACUGAGCGAGCAAAUCAAAGAGCGAGCUUCGGAUUCUGCCGCCGCCUCUUUUUUUUUUUUGACGGAGCGCACAAACACUCGAUACUGCUGGAGCACCAGACCCCAACCAGACUGCAUUAUAGUGCUCAUUUCUCUCGCCAUGCUGAAUUAAUGAGAUUUUUUUUUGGGGGGGGGGUGUCUUACUUAGAGAACAGAUACUUUACGAGCUUGGUUGGGUUUUAAAACAUCUCUGGUUAGCCCCACUCGGCCCUCCUGUAUUGAUUAGCACCGGAGCGUCCAUCCCUCACUGUAACAAAGCCUAUUGAUGUUUGUGGAGCCCUGAUUUCCCCUCGGUCAAAUACCGUACGCAGCCCCAUCGCUAAGUGACUGGAGGCUGCUCCGAACUCAAAGUAACCUGGGAACAAGCGAGCACAAAUCAUCUUUUCAUCAGCGGCUCUUCUGCUGCUCUGUGCUGCAAGAACUCACAUUUUAAAGUUAAAAGAUUUCUUUUGGAGCCUCGUUGCAGUAGGUCAGCUUAUAUACUGAGGCAUUAUGUGGUGAUAAUCUGUCUUCCUUUCCUCUGUUGUCAGCCUUCUUCUGCCAUUACAACUAUUGUGAUAAAUGAAGGCUCAAUUUAUCAACCGGGCCCUCUACUCCAUUUCUUUUUCUCCCCUCGGUUUCCCCGCCCCCCCUCCCAUAUCCAACGUCUCUGCACGGUUCGCUUUAUUUCUUCAUCCGUUCCCCCCCCCCUUCAUCCAUCCAUCCAUCCAUCCACCCCUCAUUCCCAGUCAGCCAGAUCGAGGCUUUCUUUGUGUCUGCCGGGGAAGCCUGAGAUGCUGCCUGUCACCCUGAAGCUGCAGACUCCCAUCCAGGCUGCCGGAGGUGGCCCGGCUGCUGUCAAUCAAUCCGCAGCCUGUGUAGCAGAGGGGAUGGGGGUCGACAACAUGAUGUGGCUCCCUGCUGCUUAGAAAUUCACUUAUUUAUUUAUUUUCUAGAAGGUCUGCACAGUCAGUCGAAUAGUUUUUGGCUUCUAAAAUGAAUUAAACUUGGUUGUGACUCUUUGAAUUUAAAGCCCCAACUCUGGUGCGUCAAACGAAGCGUCUGACCAAUCACAGGUGUUUGCUUCACGUUUAACGCUCUCGUUCAUCUUCACCACAUGCUGUGGGCAACCUGCAAGUGUACAGCGAUAAACUGCAAAUGCUUGUCCUUUUUUUACAUGCAUCCUGUUGUGGCAUAAUCCGUUUUGAUUAAGAGUUUUGUGCAUUUGAAUUCAGUUUUGCUCAAUUUCUAAAAAGAAAAGCUGCAUAAAUUCAGCAAUAUAUAUUUUGCUUCCAGAUAUCAAUUUAGCUUUAAUGCCGUAAUCGCGGUCGAGUUGGUCUCCGGAGCGAUGUUAAUUUGAUCUCUCUCCCUCCGUCUCUGCAGGACUCCGUGGUUUAACGGCUGGGGGUUCAACCUGCCUCGGGGUCAGUCUCUGCUGGAUAAAUGGAACCUCGUCCCUGAAGGCAUCGACAUCCUGAUGACCCACGGACCUCCGCUCGGUUUCAGAGACUGGGUUCCUAAGGAGCUGCAGCGGGUCGGCUGUGUGGAGCUGCUCAACACGGUCCAGAAGAGGGUCCGACCCAAACUUCACGCCUUCGGAGGAAUACACGAAGGCUACGGGAUCAUGACUGACGGCUACACGUCGUUCAUCAACGCGUCGACCUGCACCGUCAGCUUCCAGCCCACCAACCCCCCCAUCGUGUUCGACCUGCCCAACCCUACCAGCUCCUGAGACCAGAAGACGGCGAGGGGGGGGUGGAACCAUAAACUACUUUUUUUUUCUAUAAAUAUGUCAAGUAAAAAAAAAAAAAAUUUAAAAAAAGUUCUACGUGUUUCUUUGCAAACUUUCGAUCUUCUCCAAGCUGUCGUUGAGAUUGGGAAGAUUUGGAGGCGUGGGGCGGGGGGGGUUCGUCAGGGAGGGUUAAAGGAGAAUACCGGUGUUUUUUCUAGUUGUGUUAACAAUGAUGUGUUCCCGCUCAGAUUUUAGUUUUUCUACACAGAGUCUGAAAAACAACUUCCAUAAAGAAACUUUCUCCCAAUUUCAUCAGGCACUUAAACAUUUUCACAUCAAGUCAACUCAAUGUAACGCUCCGCUUCCUGUGGAACAGCCACGGGAAGAAAUGGAAACCAGGAAGUAAUCCCUCCAAAAUAAGUUGCCUUAGUGCAGAACAGAAGAAAGCGAGAGCGGCGAUAUGAUUUUGUUUUUGUUUUUGAAUCGUGACGUCAUGAAGUUGUUUUCAACAUAAGCUGAUUUUCUUGACAUCACAAAUCAAUAUUUUUGUUCGGUUACAGGAAAACACUUAAUAUUUUUUUGCAUUCCUGACAUAAUCUGUUAAUGUCAUGAUCACAAGAAAACAUGAGGAAUAUUAACACUUGGUCUGUCCGACCUUCCGUACAUUAGUACGUCUCAUUUGCUAAAGAAACAAGUGUUGAAGUCCACAUACGUAUGCAAUGCAAAAUGAAUUUGGGGGGAUUGCGAAGUCGUGUGACACCGGUAUUCUCCUUUUCUGGGGGAUUUUGUGGUUAAACAAUCUUGCUCUUGAUAAAUAUUGGUCAGAUCUGUAAGAUAAAUGAUGCUUUGUGAAUUUGUACAAUUUCUUUAUGUUUGGUUUGCAUUGGCCGGACAAUGGAUGCCAUUGAUUUAUGUUGUAUCAUCUGAUAUUUUGUGUUUAGGUCUUUUUAUUUGUUUUUCUCGUCGGUUCCUUUUUUCUUAUUGGCUGACAGGGACGCUGCCUUAAACUAGCUUUAAUGUUCUCAGCUAGAGCCCCGCUCUCUGCGAGCUCAGAGAGAAGUCCUUAUUUAUUACCCCGCAAAACAACACCUGACUAACGCAGGGACGGAAAGCUAUCAAAUUACAGCCCGAAAAAUUAACUUUGUAACAUCCCGCUAUGGAUUUCUGAUCUAAUUUGGAAAAUGUAUGUAUAAAAAAAAAAAUAUAUAUUAUAUAUUCAUGUUGUAAAACAUCUGUACUAAAAGUUGUGUUUGACGGAAAAAAAAUAAUCUGGUGCAUUUUCUUUUCUGUAUGCGCCUGUAUAAUUGACCUGUUUCUUUAAUGCUCCCUUCAGGCGCUCUUCAUUCGUUUCUUUAAUGUUUUUUGUAUCGACUCUCCCAGUCGGGUAGACAUUCAUUUCGGAUGAGAGAGGAAAAUUUGUCAGAGUCACAAUCCAAUAGGUGCUGGUUGUAGCCAACAACACGCCUGCCUAAACCUGGUAAAGUUGUCCUUAAAAGUGUAACUCUGAUAGUAUUUGUGUUUUAUUGCUUUCUUUUUCUAAUUUUGCACUGUGUGUAAAUGCAAUCUUGCUAGCACAAAAAAAAAAAAUCUUGCCAAUAGUUGUCUCAACUUUGCCGCUGUAAAUGCUCUUUCCGUGCUCUGUUCCUCUCUCGCUCUUUAUCUGAUUGUAUCCCUCUUCAUGGAAAUGUUAGUUCUCUCUUUCAGUUCAUUGUGAUAUAUUUAGCUGCCUUUAUAUGCAAAUAAAAUUGCGAGAUUUUUACUUA